GCGCACCAGUCGCGAAUUUUUCUCAAUGGGCGAAAGCCUGAAGGAGCGACGCCGCGUGGGGGAUGAAUGGCUUCGGCCCGUAAACCCCUGUCAUUUGUGAACAAAUUGUUUCACCUAACACAUGAAGCAUUGAUAGUAACGGAAGAGGAAGGGACGGCUAACUCUGUGCCAGCAGCCGCGGUAAUACAGAGGUCCCAAGCGUUGUUCGGAUUCACUGGGCGUAAAGGGUGCGUAGGCGGUUGGGUAAGUCUGACGUGAAAUCUCCGGGCCUAACCCGGAAACUGCGUUGGAUACUAUCCGGCUAGAGGAAUGGAGGGGAGACUGGAAUACUUGGUGUAGCAGUGAAAUGCGUAGAUAUCAAGUGGAACACCAGUGGCGAAGGCGAGUCUCUGGACAUUUCCUGACGCUGAGGCACGAAAGCCAGGGGAGCAAACGGGAUUAGAUACCCGCGUAGU
rnacentral:rRNA from 1 species